rnacentral:tRNA from 1 species
GGGGAUUUAGUUCAGCAGUAGAGCGCUUGCCUAGCAAGCACAAGGCCCUGGGUUCGGUCCCCAGCCCCG